rnacentral:lncRNA from 1 species
UAUGGACGGUGGCCCUGGGAAAGCCCUGGAGGUGUAGGCCCUCAGCUCCCCACCUCAGGGCCCUGGAUCCAGGCACGUCCCUGGUUCCCUGGGAGAGCUGCCCAGUUGGUUUCCAGGAUUGGCCUGCUUCCAAGUGAGCAGGCAAUGACCCAGGCAGCUUGGGGGAAUGGCUGCCUUGGGGGGGGUCACACCCACAGCUUGGCCUGGCCCUGAUUGGGUCACUCCCAUCUUUGCCUCCAUUGGCCACCACCCAGUGGGGUUUGGGCAGGGGCCAGACUCUGCACCAUCAAAGAUCCAUGGUGGAGACCCAGCUUUUUUUUUUUUUUGGGGGGGGGGGGAGGGGCAGGGGAGGGAGAGGGGUGGGAGCGGUCCCAGGAGGAACUACCUCAUUCUUAACAGCUUGGGGAAACUCUUACUUUUAGCUGUGUUUGAGAUUGGACAUUCCAGGGCAACUCCCACGAAGACGUUGGCCACCAUAUGCCCAGCUGUGCACACACUACCCACAUUAGGUACUUCCAAGUGCAGCGGUUGCAGAAGUGGAAACAAACCUGGCGGCCCGAGAGACCACCGGGAACACACACCCUCCCUUGGCAGUUCCAAGAAGGGGGGACAAGGAGCUCCAGGGCCAGUGGUCACCUUUGCAUCCAUGCUGAGAUGCAAGGCUUAGGCUGCAGCAGCUGGAGGCACCUGAGACCCUCCCCCCCAACCCUGGCUGUUGUCUACACUGUCAAAAAUUUAAGUGGAAACCGAAAGGCCGGUAUGAGCCCCAAGAACCACUUGUGGACAGAGCUGGCAUUCAGAGGAAACAGUGGGGUGAAGACGCCGGGCCGGGAACCUCCAGGACAAAUGAUUGAUUUUCAACAUAAGAAUGCUGUAUGGCAAUGAAAAGGGAGGGAUUACUGCCAGCCACGUCAUCCAGGGCGAACCAGAAGGCUCCCUCUGUGUGACGCCACCUACAGGACAUUCUAGGAAAGGCAACACUCUAGGGCUAGUAAAGCAAUCAGGGUUGCUGGGGGGCGUGAUGAUGGUGAAGACCGGGAGACUUGUCCAAGUUCACAGAACUGAGUACAAUUACCCCGGAAUGAUGAGUGAGACUGUGUCCAGACAGGCGUGCACGCUGCUCGGCUGCACCCCGCUUCAUGCUUGUGAAGUGUGCUCUCUCCCUACCUGGGAACCAGCAGGUCCUCAGGCCCCUGUUUAAGCGCCUCACAGCUGGACCUAAAACCACCUAAAUGAGCCCAGAUCUUUGACGUUAUGAAGGGACUCCGGCUCAGCCACGACUUUCACGCACCCAUCCACUCAUCGGUUGACCUUUACCCACAGAACAGAAACAAACCCCUGGCUCCUGAAUUUGUACGGUUUCUGUUUGCUCCGGCCAUUCAUCAGCCCCGAGCAGCCGGGAAGUAUGUGCUGAGUGGAGGUAGGAGGGAGGCCCAGGUCACCCCAUCAGGGGCGGCCAUCCACUUGGCCCAAACAGCCAGUGCGCUGUGGUCCUGAUCGAAAGCCCUUGAAACAAAAAAACAAGGUGGCAGGUGGCUCUUCCUGGAGGCUGUCAGAGGAACUUGCUCGGAACACCAUGCACCCACCCCAAGUGUUUCUUUUCUUUUUUAAAUCUGGUUUUCACAGACACAACUUCUGUGCAUCAGUGUCUCCCAGGUGGGGACAGG